GACGAACGCUGGCGGCGUGCCUAAUACAUGCAAGUCGAGCGCAGGAAACUGACGGAACUCUUCGGAGGGAAGGCAGUGGAAUGAGCGGCGGACGGGUGAGUAACACGUAAGGAACCUGCCUCAAGGAUUGGGAUAACUCCGAGAAAUCGGAGCUAAUACCGGAUAGUUCAUCGGACCGCAUGGUCCGUUGAUGAAAGGCGCUCCGGCGUCACCUUGAGAUGGCCUUGCGGUGCAUUAGCUAGUUGGUGGGGUAACGGCCCACCAAGGCGAUGAUGCAUAGCCGACCUGAGAGGGUGAUCGGCCACACUGGGACUGAGACACGGCCCAGACCCCUACGGGAGGCAGCAGUAGGGAAUCUUCCACAAUGGACGAAAGUCUGAUGGAGCAACGCCGCGUGAGUGAUGAAGGUUUUCGGAUCGUAAAACUCUGUUGUAAGGGAAGAACACGUACGAGAGGGAAUGCUCGUACCUUGACGGUACCUUACGAGAAAGCCACGGCUAACUACGUGCCAGCAGCCGCAGUAAGAC
rnacentral:rRNA from 1 species